rnacentral:rRNA from 1 species
ACGAACGCUGGCGGCGUGCCUAAUACAUGCAAGUCGAACGCUUCUUUUUCCAUCGGAGCUUGCUCCACCGGAAAAAGAGGAGUGGCGAACGGGUGAGUAACACGUGGGUAACCUGCCCAUCAGAAGGGGAUAACACUUGGAAACAGGUGCUAAUACCGUAUAACAAUCGAAACCGCAUGGUUUUGAUUUGAAAGGCGCUUUCGGGUGUCGCUGAUGGAUGGACCCGCGGUGCAUUAGCUAGUUGGUGAGGUAACGGCUCACCAAGGCGACGAUGCAUAGCCGACCUGAGAGGGUGAUCGGCCACAUUGGGACUGAGACACGGCCCAAACUCCUACGGGAGGCAGCAGUAGGGAAUCUUCGGCAAUGGACGAAAGUCUGACCGAGCAACGCCGCGUGAGUGAAGAAGGUUUUCGGAUCGUAAAACUCUGUUGUUAGAGAAGAACAAGGAUGAGAGUAACUGUUCAUCCCUUGACGGUAUCUAACCAGAAAGCCACGGCUAACUACGUGCCAGCAGCCGCGGUAAUACGUAGGUGGCAAGCGUUGUCCGGAUUUAUUGGGCGUAAAGCGAGCGCAGGCGGUUUCUUAAGUCUGAUGUGAAAGCCCCCGGCUCAACCGGGGAGGGUCAUUGGAAACUGGGAGACUUGAGUGCAGAAGAGGAGAGUGGAAUUCCAUGUGUAGCGGUGAAAUGCGUAGAUAUAUGGAGGAACACCAGUGGCGAAGGCGGCUCUCUGGUCUGUAACUGACGCUGAGGCUCGAAAGCGUGGGGAGCAAACAGGAUUAGAUACCCUGGUAGUCCACGCCGUAAACGAUGAGUGCUAAGUGUUGGAGGGUUUCCGCCCUUCAGUGCUGCAGCUAACGCAUUAAGCACUCCGCCUGGGGAGUACGACCGCAAGGUUGAAACUCAAAGGAAUUGACGGGGGCCCGCACAAGCGGUGGAGCAUGUGGUUUAAUUCGAAGCAACGCGAAGAACCUUACCAGGUCUUGACAUCCUUUGACCACCUAAGAGAUUAGGCUUUCCCUUCGGGGACAAAGUGACAGGUGGUGCAUGGCUGUCGUCAGCUCGUGUCGUGAGAUGUUGGGUUAAGUCCCGCAACGAGCGCAACCCUUAUUGUUAGUUGCCAUCAUUUAGUUGGGCACUCUAGCAAGACUGCCGGUGACAAACCGGAGGAAGGUGGGGAUGACGUCAAAUCAUCAUGCCCCUUAUGACCUGGGCUACACACGUGCUACAAUGGGAAGUACAACGAGUCGCAAAGUCGCGAGGCUAAGCUAAUCUCUUAAAGCUUCUCUCAGUUCGGAUUGUAGGCUGCAACUCGCCUACAUGAAGCCGGAAUCGCUAGUAAUCGCGGAUCAGCACGCCGCGGUGAAUACGUUCCCGGGCCUUGUACACACCGCCCGUCACACCACGAGAGUUUGUAACACCCGAAGUCGGUGAGGUAACCUUUUGGAGCCAGCCGCCUAAGGUGGGAUAGAUGAUUGGGGUG